AAAAAUGUCAAUUACAUUACUAACACAUACAUAUUAGAUAUCAUAAAAUUGGCUGAAGUUUAAAUACAAUAACGUAGUAUUCAUAUCUAAUAGUGCGAGCCAGAAUCAAAUAAAAAAUUGUUUAAAAAUGCAUAAAGGCCUGAACUGUGGACAAAACUUGCAAAAAGCUUUGAAACUGUUGUAGAAAUAUAUUGCUAUGGAGAAUGCUAUGUACUCUGCGUUGAUACCACUGUUU